GCAAGUCGAGCGGUAACAUUUCUAGCUUGCUAGAAGAUGACGAGCGGCGGACGGGUGAGUAACGCGUAGGAAUCUACCCAGUAGUGGGGGACAACAGUUGGAAACGACUGCUAAUACCGCAUACACCCUACGGGGAAAAGGGGGCUUCGGCUCUCGCUAUUGGAUAGCCUGCGUGAGAUUAGCUAGUUGGUAAGGUAAUGGCUUACCAAGGCGACGAUCUCUAGCUGGUUUGAGAGGAUGAUC
rnacentral:rRNA from 1 species